rnacentral:tRNA from 1 species
GCCCAGGUGGCGGAAUUGGUAGACGCGCUGGCUUCAGGUGCCAGUGUCCUUACGGACGUGGAGGUUCGAGUCCUCUCCUGGGCACCA